AGUCAGCAUCAGAUAUGUUACAGUUGUGGCUGCUAUGACACUCUUCCAUCAGAUCGUAUAGCAGAAAGAGGCAUGCCUAUUCUCAGUGUUCUGACUUGUGAACAUCUGAAUGAUUAAUAGCCAAAUAAU